UGCUCACAUCGGCAGCAGUACACUAGAGUCAAAAUGACACAGAGAAGAUCAGCACAGAGCCUGUCCAGGGAUGAUACACAAAUCUGUGAAGCCUCCUGAGUUGUU